GUUUUAAAAAUAAUUAAAUUCAGUUAAAUGAACUCAAGAAGGAAAAUUCUUCCAUUUUAAAACACAUUGUUCAACACUUGCAAAGAUAUGAUUAAUUAUUUUUUGUUAGUCUCUUUUCAUUAAAUGGAGAAGCCGAGACAUAACUUUUACCUAUGAACAAAAAUAAUAUAGACAGCAAAGCAUAUUAAUGCAACUUUAUUCUUUAAAAUAGUAAAUAAUACAUCAAAAGUAAAGAGCACAAGAAAUUUAUGAAAAGUGAAUUAAAGAAAAAGAAAAGAAAGGGAGAGAGCUCGAUACCGGCUUUUUGCAUAAUUUUUUCUUUUUCUUUUUUCUUGAAUAGUUAGUUUUGUGAUACUGAUUUUAGGGAUUUAAUUUCUGAAAUUACAAAAGGUGUGUAUUUUGGUGAAAUAUAAUUAUUGUAGUAUGACACAUGAUGAUACCGGAUAUGUAAGAGUUAAUUGAUAAUAAUGGUAGAGUAAAGUGUAAUGGAAUAAGUUUGUGAUGCUUUCAUUUAGAUGUAAGAAUUAUUUUAUGGCUUUAGGUUUUGUUAUUGGUUAAUUCAAUACGUUUAUUUCUCUCUUAUCAUGAAAUGCUUAAAUAAAAAUAAAAUUAUUAUUAAUAUUACACAUUUAUAUUUCUAUUAAAGAUUUUAUUAAAAAAAAUACUUGUAUUCAUGAUAAAAAGAAUUUUCAUAAAGUCAUUCAUGAUGAAACUAUCAAAUCAACACUUGAAACUUUAAGUAAUAAAAUUGGAUAUUCACUCAUUUACUAAAAAUAAUCUUAAAGUAACUCAAUUUCUCUGUAAGAGAAAGAUUAUACUAGAAUAAAAUGGUACAAUAUAAUAUAAUAAGCAAGAGAAAAAAAAAUACCUACUAUCUUUUCACGUUCUCAAAAUCCAAAUAGGAUAAUACAACUAGGUCUCAAAACAACUAAUUAAAACAUGAUAAAAGUGUUCUUCUACCCAAGUUUUUAUAUUGACUUUCAUAUUGAUUUGAAUUCAAUUUCUCAAAAUCAACCUUCAAUUCUAUAUUUUGAUUCUUCUGUUUCUAAGAAUAUUCAAAUAUGAAAUAUCUCUAAGUCUAUAUAAUUUAAAUGAACUGGCGGAAACUAGGCUCAUGCUUAAAUUUCUUGGAGUUGUUCUUAUCUUUGAUAUGUGGUUUGAAUUUACGCCGAGGAACAAUUGAAAAAUAAUAGAAUUUUUUUCUUCCUCAUUUAACGGGGUAAUUAAAAAAAAUCCGAGGUUUUGAUAGAAUAAAAUGGAAUACUGAACAUCCUAUGUUAAAUAAACUGAUUGUUAGGCUUGCUUGUAUGGUUUAACUUUUCUUCUAUCUCUACUUUUCUUCUCUAUCUUUGCUUGUAUGCCUACGAUUUACUGUGUCUUUAAAGAAGAACAAACACAUUUUCUCAAAUAAGGCCUUAGAAUUGUGUUCAUCAUGUGGUCGAGGUAUUGGAUAAGUCCAUGAACAUUACUAGAAACUCUUAGUGAUCUUGGUAGGUGUGAAAAAUUGUUUUUUUAUGUGUUCUUCCUUCAUUCGUAUUUGGUGGUACCUAACCCUUAGAUCCACCUUCAAAACAUCGGUUGCCUCUUGUAGUUCAUCCAAAAGUUAUUCUAUAACAACCUCCAGUUGUCAUCCCUUUUUUCCACCAAAAUGAUUAGUCUGGAGUAGGGGUUGUUACUGGUCCGAUUAUUGUCAUUCCCAACAUCUCGGCCACUUGCUUCUCUAUCUCGUACUUUAAUAGGUACCGAUAGGACCUUACAUUGACUGAUCCAUUCCCUCCUUAAUGGGAAUCUUGUGAUCCAAGUGUCUCUUGAGAGGAAGACGCGUAGGUUUAAUCUCCUGGCCGAGGGUUAAUUGUGUCUCUCCUUUAUUGCCUUCUUCUAGUUCUGCUUGCCCUAAACUUGAUACCAUAGCUUCGAUUUCUGGCUCCUUUAACAACCUCUUUGGUGACACUACCUUUCUUGUUAGUGUAGGAUCUCCUCUGAUAAGAAUUUCCUCAUCUUUCUGGCUAAAUUUCAUGGCUAAGUCUCCCCAAUUGAUCUUGACCUCCUUCAAUGAGGCUAACUAGGCCACUCCCAAAAUAAGAUUCACUCAUCCCAGUUCGAACAAGUAAAACCUUUCCUUGAUUUCUAACCCUUUCAACAACAAGGGAAUGUUGCGACUACAUCCCUUUGCCUAUUCCCCAGGCAAACUUUAUAGGAAGGUGGUUCUUAUACUCUCAAGCCUAGUUCCGCCACCAACUUGGCUGAGAUGAAGUGUGGUUGGCUCCACUAUCUAUUAGGACCAAUAUUUUUUUUGUGCACCUAUCCUUACAAUUUCAUCGUAUCGGUUUGAGUGAAACCUCAUAUUGAGAAGAACAAGAGCUCUAUCUGCUUAUGUUCCAUCUUAUUAAGAAGAACAUGAUCAAGACUCUUUAUGUAUUUUGGGUAAAGAAGAUUCUUAACCCUUCUGUUCCUGUUGUCCCUAUCGCAUUGCUCCUUUUUCAUGGAUGAAGCAAUGAAUAAAAACAACAAAGGUAAGGAAAUAUGCGAAUAAUGGACAAGCAAUAUCUAAGUUUCAUUAAUGUGUAUGAAGUAUACAAACUAAGGCUGACAUCCAAAACAAGUGGUAUAAUCCAAAAGCUUGUUUGACGGUGACCAUCAUGAAUA
rnacentral:lncRNA from 1 species